UGACCGGCUCCAAGGAUGGCUUGGGCUCAGGGUCAUUGAGAAGAGGCAGGGUGAAGGCCUCCUCAGACUCUGGGGUGGUAGCCUCAGGCAGACCCCCAGUCAAGUCCAGGGAGGUCACAGACAUCUCCUCUGGGAAGCCCAGGUCAUUGGGGAUCUUGCAGGCAGGUCGGUGGGCUGCCAAAAUAAACUCCAGUUUUUCCUUCUCUUUCAGUAGAUUGGCAAUCUCGGUCUGCAACGCAGACUUCUCGUCUUCAAGUUGAUCUGUCUCCUGCACAGAGAUGUAAGAAAGCAUAAGACACAGGUUUCCUCAAGGACCCUGACCCCAUAGUCCCAACCUCCAACUUUAAUAAAGUUUCAGGAGCAGCAGCUGGUUCAACCUACCGCUUGGAGCGUAUCUGUCAGCUCCCUCCUCCGAUUCCGGCACUUGGCUGCAGCCAUCUUAUUCCUUUCCCUUCGGAUUCUCCGUUUCUCUUCCUCUUCAGGAGAUAGCUAUAAGAAAAGGACCAACAUUCAAUAAGGUGG
rnacentral:lncRNA from 1 species